UACGUAGGGGGCAAGCGUUGUCCGGAUUUAUUGGGCGUAAAGAGCGUGUAGGCGGCCAGACAGGUCUGCUGUGAAAACUCGAGGCUCAACCUCGAGACGCCGGUGGAAACCGUCUGGCUAGAGUCCGGAAGAGGAGAGUGGAAUUCCUGGUGUAGCGGUGAAAUGCGCAGAUAUCAGGAAGAACACCCGUGGCUAAGGCGGCUCUCUAGUACGGUACUGACGCUGAGACACGAAAGCGUGGGUAGCAAACAGG
rnacentral:rRNA from 1 species